ensembl:lncRNA
CCGCCCCCAGCCGGGCCGGCAGCCGUGGGGAGCAGCGCCUGGCAGCGGGAGGCGCCUCCACGGGCCCCCGUCUCCGUGCGAGCGCUGCCGCAGCCGCUCCGCUGCGCUCUGCCCGGGGCUCCUUCGGCUUCAGCCGCGUCCGCCCUCCGGAGCCCGCAGCUCAGCCUGAGCGCUCGUCCCGGGGCGUGCAGCACCUCUGCAUGUGCUUCAUUGGGACCUCUGUUGUUUUCGACGGAGCUCAAGCGAAGCGGGCAUCAACAUCACUUAGUAGCUUGAAUAUUUUCUCCCGUGGACUCGCGUGUAAACGUGUAAAAUGUUCGCGGCAGUCCAAACUUACUAUAGCAGGCUGACUCUUUGCCCAUAAAAUGUUAAAUCAACCAUGACCAGACUCAUUUUCCCAUGUCAGCCGAGAGGACUCCGUAAAUCAACACAUUAGGGCUUCGCAGGGCAGGAGCUGCGUGUGCCUCAUGCAAAGCGGCCCUGACAGCCGCUCUCCCGGUGUCGGGGCUGUCAGCCCGCGUGCUGCAUUGCGUUGGGAGAGGGCCCAGGAACGGGUGCUCGGGGGGGGAGGGGGGGGGGGAGCGGCUCCGGGUGAUUCGCCUUCCGACGUGGUUGCGCUUCUGUCUUACAGGUGUUCUGCAAAGCCCAUCCCAGCAGCUUGAAGAGCUUUGAUGAGCCCAUGCCUGCGCUGAAGGCCAGGUGUAGGCGCUUCUCGGCACCUCCAGGAGGAGCCCAGUUGGAGGCUGUUAUAGAUAGCUCGUGCUGGGGAUGCGGAGGGCUGCGAUAGCCUUACUUGGAAGGAAGUGAGCGCUCUGGGCAAAUAAAGCUGGGAAAGAAUAGCCUUGUCUGUAGGAUGCUGCCCAGGAGCACCUAGGAUAGCCCUCUCUUUGUUCAAGAAACAACAUUACAUCAUUCUAACUGGAAUCUCACCUCCUUGCUUGCUGUUGUCUGCGUGGCUUACCUGUGUGGUGAGGAGAGAAAAGGAAAGGGAGAAAAACAAUGCUGCAUGUUAGGAAACAUGAGACAAAACGAUUUAGCCAGAAGUUCAAAUGCUCAAUGGAUGACAAAGCAAGGUUGAAGUAUGGGAGUGUGAAGAGUUUGUUUCCUGACCAGCUUCAUUCAGCUCCUCCAUCUUGCAUCAUGCAUCAGCAUGUUCUCUUCCUCGUGACGUCUCCAGAUGAUGCAGAAUUAACAUUAACUGAGCUGUACUUAACCCUCCUCACCCAGAAGGAAGGGUGGAUGAAAGUAAUGAGUAAUGGGAAAAGUUGCUGCUUAACAAACUGCAGAAGAUAUUUUUGAUGACUUUUGUGUUGUUUGAUGACUGCCUUUUGUGUGAGUUCUGUUCUUUUGUAGUCAUCCACAUUGUUAGCAACUUCCAUACAUUUCUUUGGAAAUAUUUUGUACUCAAGAUAUAAAGAACAAUAGCAACUGGUUUCGGAAUUGGACAAAAUAGAGGUAAAACCUUUGUUCUUUCAUAUAUAGAAGCUAUUCCAUACUGAUCUGUUCUGUGUUGACUUCUGAUUGGACAACAUACCUGCUUUGUGGUCUCUUUUCAGUAGUAGAAUCCCACAUCUGUUAUCUAUGUGGAAAGCUGUGGUUUCCACACAGUGAAUUGUUAGAAAAAGUGAAGGGUAAAAGAGUUCUAGUCAUUAGCUUUGUCAAUAUAACCAGCUCAAAAAUGUGUUUAAAAGAAUAAUAAUAAACAGAGACAUGUACAUAGAUGCA